UACGUAGGGGGCGAGCGUUGUCCGGAUUUAUUGGGCGUAAAAGGCUUGUAGGUGGCCACGUCAAUUCGGAUGUGAAAUCUCCCGGCUCAACUGGGAGGGGUCAUUCGAUACUGGCGGGCUCGAGGCCGGUAGGGGGAAGCGGAAUUCCCGGUGUAGUGGUGGAAUGCGUAGAUAUCGGGAGGAACACCAGUGGCGAAGGCGGCUUCCUGGACCGGUUCUGACACUGAGGAGCGAAAGCGUGGGGAGCGAUCCGG
rnacentral:rRNA from 1 species